rnacentral:rRNA from 1 species
AACGUAGGUUCCGAGCGUUAUCCGGAUUUACUGGGCGUAAAGCGCGUUCAGGCGGUUUGGGAAGUCGGGCAUGAAAUCUCUCGGCUCAACCGGGAGAGGUUGUCCGAUACUUCCAGACUUGAGGGCAGUAGAGGGUGGUGGAAUUCCGGGUGUAGUGGUGAAAUGCGUAGAUAUCGGGAGGAACACCAGUGGCGAAGGCGGCUUCCUGGCCUGUUCUUGACGCUGAGGCGCGAAAGCUAGGGGAGCAAACGGG